CACUCCCAAUUGCCGUCAGUUAUUCCGGUGUGCUUUCUGUUCUUUGUUCUGUCGACGCUAACAUCAUUACCGUUACGUCCACGACGACAAACGUCAUCGCAACUGUCCCGCAUUAUGUGCGGGCUAUGAUAGGCUUUCUCUGAGCAGUUUAGUAAGCCGAGUGUGCUUGUCCACAACAACAGAUUCUCGUAGUUUUUCCGUAGCGGCUCACAUUGCUGUAGAGAUGAAACACAUGUUAUAGAUGAACUUUAACUAAAUCACCUGUCUUGUCGAUCUGUCCACCAUCUUUAUUGCUUCAAGCUGUGCUAGCUCGGUGUACAAACAAAGCAAGUGGCAAUCAAUUUACAAGCGGAAAUUGACGGAGUACCGGCUUCGAGUGAGUAGGAUUCAUACUUGUUCUUUUGCAUCCGGAGCAGGCGAAACCAGAGCGACAUUAGAAGCUGCCUGCCCGCGUGUUUCCCGCAUCGGUGAUCUCUCUGCGAACGUUGCCAGUUCUGCCAACGUUUUGCAUGCCUCUGGAGUGGUCCCGCGCUGUUCGUGGACCGGUGGCAAAGGCCUGCCCCGGUGGCCAACCGCAGCCCCCCUCAAUUGUCCUGCAUUGGACCCCGGGCAACGCGCGAGGCUUUCCAGAGGCUACCACUCGUAAACUCGAUCUGGCUCGUGCAUUCGACCUUCCUGACACCACAUCCAUUACUAUAGUUACUUCCGCCCCGGACAAUCUCAAAUCCAAAGGCUUUCGUUCGAUUCGAUUGCACGCGACUUCCGAUGCAGAUCCGGCGGACAUCUUACCAGCGAGGCCCUCGGGCAUCCGCUAUACUACUGUGCGGUAUCCUAGCCGUAUUAUUCGAUCCCUGUGCGACCUCAAAACCUCAAGACGAGUCAUCUCGAGCAGUUCAGCUGUGUUGGGAAAGGCUAAUCGAUGCCGUGCGAAACCUAAGCGAUAUCCAGACCUUCGACCCCGUUGAAAAACGAGUCAUCCGCGUGCAUGACGACGAAAGCGCUCGUCCAGCGAUCGUGAGCUCAUCGCGCCUUCUUACGGUGACCCGACGAAGCGAAGUAUACGAGGUUGUCAAUCGCAGCUCACCUGAGGGGCCUGUGAUCGACUGUUGUCGCAUUAAGUGCACACUCGAAGAACUAAUUCGUUAUGGUGCCUCCAUAGGACAUUAGACUAACAAUCAGGACCAUCACAACACGCACAACACGUAGUACACACAUCCACCUACAUAUGCCAGUUACCUUCAUCAGCAUGACAUGUUUCCACCGCCUAUCAUCUUCACUGCAUAUCAGACGUCUGUGCGUGGACGCUCCGACGGGGCAUGGACGGCUUGAAACGACCGGAUCCGAUUAUGCAUGUCUCAAAUAAGAGGGAUCAACCUAAUUUACCAUAUAUCAGUGCUAUGUAAUCUGUAUACCUAAUUUAUCUCAACACACAUACAUAUAUAUAGAUAUAAAACACUGAAUGAAUGGUCGGACAGGUUAGGGUUAUUUCGUUGUCUGACCAAAAAUCACACCUUACACCCAAGUAUUGAAUUAAUAUUAUCCAUGAUUAUUUAAGCAUUUAGCAGGCAUACCAUUAUAGUUUCUCCCGGAUUAAUUUGUAGCUCAAGUGCAAGUCCUAACAAACUGAGUAGCUCUUAAAACCCGGUUCACCGUAACCACACGAAUUCUCGUGACGGGGUGGCGCAUACAGAGUUAGUCCUUGAUUUUAUGUAGGACAUAUAUAUAUAUGUAUAUGUAU